rnacentral:tRNA from 1 species
GGAUUCGUAGCUCAAUUGGUAAGCCGUGUUUUACAAAGACGUAUGCGACCUCCAUGCGUGAGUUCGAAUCUCACCAAGGCUG